AUAUCUGAUACGUCCUCUAUCCG
rnacentral:piRNA from 1 species